CGCACAUUGCGCCCCUUGGCAUUCCGAGGGGCCUGCCUGUCCGAGCGUCAUUCCAACCAUCAAGCCUAGCUUGGUCUUGGGCGCGGUCCCGGGACCGGCCCCUAACCAGUCGGCGGCUCCGUCCAGUCUUAGGCGUAGCACGUACACUCGUCUCGGCCUCGCGGCGGCGCGCCUGCCGUAAAACGCACCUAGGACCUUCACCUAGAACUCUGACCUCGGAUCAGGUAGGGGUACCCGCUGAACUUAA
rnacentral:misc_RNA from 1 species